rnacentral:misc_RNA from 1 species
UCAAACUUGGUCAUUUAGAGGAAGUAAAAGUCGUAACAAGGUUUCCGUAGGUGAACCUGCGGAAGGAUCAUUAGCGAAAUGCUAUGUAUUUUUUAAUAUUUAGGGCCACGCCCGUUUGGAAACGUCGCACGGAAGGUGUGGCUGACCAACGGUGUGCGUGGGAGUUGGGGUUUGGCCCACAUGGGGCGGAAGGAACCGCGCGUAGCACAGGAUGUGGAGGAUACACUGCUUUCUUAUGCGGCGGCGGGGAAAGAGCAUGUAAUUAUGUAUUAUUUGUGUGUUGAAGUAUAACGAGUAGAGGGGGCUAAUAUAGAGAUAUAUAAGCUAACUAACAUAAUGCAAAAACAACUUUUGGCAAUGGAUCUCUUGGCUCUUGCAUCGAUGAAGAACGCAGC